rnacentral:rRNA from 1 species
UACGUAGGGUGCGAGCGUUGUCCGGAAUUAUUGGGCGUAAGGAGCUCGUAGGCGGUUUGUCGCGUCUGCUGUGAAAACUGGAGGCUCAACCUCCAGCCUGCAGUGGGUACGGGCAAACUAGAGUGCGGUAGGGGAGAUUGGAAUUCCUGGUGUAGCGGUGGAAUGCGCAGAUAUCAGGAGGAACACCGGUGGCGAAGGCGGGUCUCUGGGCCGAUAUUGACGCUGAGGAGCGAAAGCGUGGGGAGCGAACAGG